rnacentral:rRNA from 1 species
UACGAAGGGGGCUAGCGUUGUUCGGAAUCACUGGGCGUAAAGCGCGCGUAGGCGGACUUUUAAGUCAGGGGUGAAAUCCCGGGGCUCAACCUCGGAACUGCCUUUGAUACUGGAAGUCUUGAGUUCGAGAGAGGUGAGUGGAAUACCGAGUGUAGAGGUGAAAUUCGUAGAUAUUCGGUGGAACACCAGUGGCGAAGGCGGCUCACUGGCUCGAAUACUGACGCUGGGGGUGCGAAAAGCGUGGGGAGGCAAACAAGGAGUUAGAUUACCCGCCGUAGUCCA